rnacentral:rRNA from 1 species
AACGUAGGUUCCGAGCGUUAUCCGGAUUUACUGGGCGUAAAGCGCGUUCAGGCGGUUUGGCAAGUCGGGCAUGAAAUCUCUCGGCUCAACCGGGAGAGGUUGUCCGAUACUGCUGGACUUGAGGGCAGUAGAGGGUGGUGGAAUUCCGGGUGUAGUGGUGAAAUGCGUAGAUAUCCGGAGGAACACCAGUGGCGAAAGCGGCCACCUGGACUGCACCUGACGCUGACACGCGAAAAGCUAGGGGGAGCGAACGGG